rnacentral:rRNA from 1 species
CAGUAGCCGCGGGAAUACGUAGGGUGCAAGCGUUAAUCGGAAUUACUGGGCGUAAAGCGUGCGCAGGCGGUUAUAUAAGACAGAUGUGAAAUCCCCGGGCUCAACCUGGGAACUGCAUUUGUGACUGUAUAGCUAGAGUACGGCAGAGGGGGAUGGAAUUCCGCGUGUAGCAGUGAAAUGCGUAGAUAUGCGGAGGAACACCGAUGGCGAAGGCAAUCCCCUGGGCCUGUACUGACGCUCAUGCACGAAAGCGUGGGGAGCAAACAGGAUUAGAGACCCGUGUAGUCCCUGUCUCUUAUAA